UAAUGGGGAGCUGUAGCAAAGAACUCCCCUUUUUUUUUCUUCUCUCUGACAAAGGAAAGCUUCCAGGAGACUUUCAAUUCAUGGAAAACUGACCAUUUCUAUUACAAAUACAAUAAACGACAAGGAAACAAGACAUAGAAGGAAGCGAACCAGAAACAGUGGCCACUCAAUCCUUUCUUUCCUGGCCUCAUCAAGUUCGUUACUGUUGUCCAUGAAAAUGUCUUGCUAGCAACUUUGUGAAUAUGACUGAGCUGAAAAAGCGGCACAAAGGUUCUCUCUUUGCUAAACAAAGGAUUCUUGCAACCAAAACAGAGGAGAAUCAGUCAAAUAGAUAGUGUCAAGCAGGCGGCGCAGUGGUGAAUCAGUAUAAAUCAAUGCUGUUGGAUCUGUGGUCAGUGAUGUUGAUUCUGCGCAAUGAUUGGCCCUCAACUAAUUGAAUUGUGGUAUGUCCUUAUGAUCCUUUUGCUUCUUCUGUAGAUUGUAGAACUCGUGAAUUGCUGCCACACACUUGUAAUGUCAUUGAUCGAGCAAAUGUAGAUAAACAGUAAGUGUGCCAUCGAUUCUGGCUUUCUAUUUGGUAAGCAAUCAAGAGACAACCCAUGUUUUUGAUCAAUAGAGAGCAUAAUGACUUUCUAUUUGGUUUUUCAUGCUCGGUUUGUCCUGGACUUCUAAAAAUCAUGAAUAGGCAAAUUGCCCCAAAUCCAGAUAUAUGGCUUAAAAGCUCAAAAGAAUCUAAGGUUGAGACAUGCCUUCGAGCUUUUGUGGUCAAAUUUUGUUAUAGUACAAGGAGAACAAUUAUGUUUUGUUAUGCUGGUUAGUGUCAUAACGUGAAGAAAAGUUUAUUUAGCACAUAAGUACUAAAAUAGUUGUAAUGACAUCAGUACUAAAAUAGUUAACUGUUUGAUAGAGAAAAAUGUUGAACAAGUGUAUGAAAUAUCACUUUUAUCCUUAGUGAAGGAAAAACCUAAUAACUUAAUUAUUUUUUUCCGACUU